UACGGAGGGUCCAAGCGUUAUCCGGAUUUAUUGGGUUUAAAGGGUACGUAGGCGGAAGAUUAAGUCAGUAGUGAAAGCCCAUCGCUCAACGAUGGAACUGCUAUUGAUACUGGUUUUCUUGAAUAUACUUGAAGUAGGCGGAAUACGACAUGUAGCGGUGAAAUGCAUAGAUAUGUCGUAGAACACCGAUUGCGAAGGCAGCUUACUAAGGUAUUAUUGACGCUAAUGUACGAAAGCGUGGGGAGCGAACAGG
rnacentral:rRNA from 1 species